rnacentral:misc_RNA from 1 species
GAAAUGCGAUAAGUAAUGUGAAUUGCAGAAUUCAGUGAAUCAUCGAAUCUUUGAACGCACAUUGCGCCCGUUAGCAUUCUAGCGGGCAUGCCUGUCCGAGCGUCAUUUCAACCCUCAGGGCCCCCCGUUCCGGCGGGCGGACCUGGCGUUGGGGAUCGGCCCGCCCCGUGCGGCGCCGUCCCCCAAAUACAGUGGCGGUCCCGCCGCAGCCUCCCCUGCGUAGUAGUUUACAACCUCGCAUCGUAGCGCGGCGCGGCCACGCCGUAAAACCCCCGACUUUCUGAACGUUGACCUCGGAUCAGGUAGGAAUACCCGCUGAACUUAAGC